GGGAUGAACAUCUUUCCUCCAACCUGCUAUCUAAGGGGAUGAAACGAAGGAGGGGAGAAAUUGCUUCAUAGUGACUGGCUGGCUCCUUGAUCUCCCUCUGUGACUGCCAGACCCAACAAGUCUUAAAUCAGUGCCUCUCAAAUUUCCAUGUGCCUAUGAAUCACCUGGAGAUCUUAAGAUGCAGAUUCUGAUUCAGCGGGCCUGGAAUGGGUGCAGAGAUUCUGCACAUCUCACCAGCUCCAGGCGAUGCCUCCAGGUGAUGCCCAUGUUUGAGUACUCAGGAAGGACCUAAAGAGACCCUCCCUCUCACAGAGGAGGAAACUGAAGCCCCGGUAAGUUAAGCAAUUUACCCAAAAUCACAAAGUCCACAACCAGCUUCCUUCCCACCCCCAUUACCACCUUCGCUGGCAGCAUCCUGACAUUCUUCUUAGGACGCAGCCAGAAAACCCUGUCCUGGGAUGCAGUUGAGUCAGUGAGUUAAUGAAAUUUCCUUCCAGGGAUAUCUGCAGUUUUGGUCUGGUCUUAAGUGGUUUUUUGUCCACUAAGCAGAUUCCAGGCUAUGUCAAUAAAAGUGCACACCUAUUCCAUAAGCCCAAUUUCAUCAAACCAGCAGAGUAAAAACUUUCAGGGUCGGGAUUUCCCUGGUGGACCAGUGGUUAAGGCUCCGCAUUUCCAAUGCAGGGGGCACGGGUUCUAUCCCUGGUCGGGGAACUAAGAUCCCACGUGCCACAUGGUGCUAAAUAAAUACAUACAUACAUACAUACAUACAUACAUACAAACUUUCAGGGUGUGUGAGAGAGAUAUGCUGUCAAUCUGGUUCAACCCUGAACCAGCUGUUUAGGGCUGACUUAUGUCCCCCCCCACCAAUUCAUAUGUUGAAGUUCUAACUCCCAGUACUUCAGAAUGUGACUGUAUUUGGACAUAGGUCCUUUAAAGAGGUAAUUAAGUUAAAUGAGGUCAUUAGGGUGGGCCCUAAUCCAAUAUAACUGGUGUCAUUAUAAGAACAGGAUAUGAGAACACAGACACACCCAGAGAGAAGACAGUCAUUUAGAAGCCAAGGAGAGAGGCCUCAGGAGAAACCAGACCUGUCAACACCUUGAUCUUGGACUUAUGGCCUCAAAACUGUAGGGUUACUUUCUCAUCCCUCCCCAGCACUGGCUUGAUUUUCUCCAUAGUCACUACGUCUGUGUUGAAACUUUGAGACUCCAGGCAUCCAUGCCAUCCUCACUUUACUCCUGUUUACCUCUUUACCUGUUAAAGUAUAAUAUCCUGAAAGGGGACAGGAAGCCACCAAUCUGCUAUUCUCUGGAAAUUACUAUCUGAACUGACAGCAUAGACAUUUCCUCAAUCUGUCCAGUACUUCACGACAAGCCUCUGAGGUAUUCGAUUUUCUUAGCCAUUCACUUUUUCUUGAAACUCUGAUGGCUCUCAGUGUGGUUCCCCGGUCAGCAAAGCAGCGUCACUUGAGAACUUGUUAGAACUGCAUAUUUUCAGGCCCGGACCCAGACCUGCUAGAUCAGAAACUCUGCAGGGGGUGGGGAGGUACCCAGCAAGAUGAGGUUGAACAAGCCAUUGAGGUGAUUCUGAUGCCCCCUGAUGUCUGAGAACCAGAGCUUGAAUCUACUGGCAUCUGCUCAAUGCCUUGUCUUAAGGCACUUACCUGCCUUUCUAGCUGCUGCUUUACUGUGUCCCAUCCUGGCUCAUUCUUCCUUUAUCCCCCUGCUAGUGUGUGUGUGCGCGUGUGCGUGUGUAUGCAUCCAUGCACGUGUUCAGCAGACAUCCAGGAAAGGGUCUCCUGUGGUCAGUUUGGCAGAUGGAUCUAGACAAGUCUGAAGCUCUGUUGGGAUGUUGUUAAGCCCCUUCAGGUGUUUUUCAGGUGGCAGCAUUUAUUGUAAAGACCAUGAUAAUGAGCAUCUCCUACUACAACCGGGGGGAAAGCUAUUUAAAGCUAUUUCUAUGAGAGAGUGACAGAGACAGAAUGAAUGAGUGAAGUGAAGCAAUGGGAAGUAGGAAAGACAGGAAGUCAUCUCAGCAUCUAGGCUCCCUGGAGUCUUGGCAUGUUCUUCCCGACAAGCAGGAGCCCCCAGCCGCUCCAGCUGCCCAGCACGGGGUGUCCUUUGCUGCUGGCUGUAUAGGAACUCCACUCCCGAUGACAGGGCUUUGCUACGUCUCUGCUUCUGCUGUGACUCUUUCUCCUUCUCUUCAAUGCCACUGCCUGCCCCUAGGCGUGAGUGCCACGAGGGAUCUGCACAUUGGCUUUUCUUGUUUUCUUUCAGUUCUGGCUGCGCAAACCACGUUCCUCUCUGUCUCACACUGAAAGAGCCCACAGAGAGGGACUACUGGGUCUCCAGGGUCACUGUGUCAGUAGAGAGACCCCAGCUUUGGGCGGAGGCUUGCUGUGGCCGGUCCCGAGGUGUAGCUCUUGCUGGA